rnacentral:rRNA from 1 species
GUGCCAGCCGCCGCGGUAAUACAGAGGGUGCAAGCGUUAAUCGGAAUUACUGGGCGUAAAGCGCGCGUAGGUGGUUAGUUAAGUUGGAUGUGAAAUCCCCGGGCUCAACCUGGGAACUGCAUUCAAAACUGACUGACUAGAGUAUGGUAGAGGGUGGUGGAAUUUCCUGUGUAGCGGUGAAAUGCGUAGAUAUAGGAAGGAACACCAGUGGCGAAGGCGACCACCUGGACUGAUACUGACACUGAGGUGCGAAAGCGUGGGGAGCAAACAGGAUUAGA